UCUUCCUUCUAGAAUACAAGUGAAGGAACAACCCUCACCAGGGACAUGCCAGUCUUUUGGCAGAGGACAGGAGCUGGUGACAGAGGCCGCUUGCCAGCAGGGGGCAGAUCUGCGACUGGAACCCAGGUUAACAGACGCCAGAAACUGAGGGGCGGACCGUGUGCAUCAGCGGCUCUCACAGUCCAGUCCUCACGGACAGCAGCCGCCUCGCCAGGGAACUUGUUAGAAACACUCCCGUGCCACCAGCCCGCAGGACAGUUUGGCUCAAGGGCCUGAGUCUCUUGGUCACAGCGAGUGGGGGCCCCUGGUCUGCAGCUGGGGAG